AUAUAUAUAUAUAUAUAUCCCAAGGCUAUGGCCUAGCUUACUAAUAAUCUUUUUUAUUUUAAGGAAGUUCAAAAUAUACAUUGGAUGUUCAUCAAUCAAUGAUUGUUACAGUUUUACUUGGAUUCAUAAAACAGGACGUUUUCUUUCAGAAGAAAGAAGAGGUGAUGGCUACAAACUGGGGCAGAGAGAAAUUGAAGGCAGCAGGAAGACAAUAAGCAGAAGGAGCAGAAAGAAAGCUUUCUAUGUUCCUGUAGAACUCUCCCAGGUUGCCCUGGGGUAAUUAUCACCUGUCUCUUAUGCAUUGAAAUACGUGAUUAUUCUCAGGCUUUCAGGCCAGUAUUCACAUGCUACUAGGCCAGUGUUACCAUGAUAAUAACAGAAAAUCAGAUCCUGCUGUCCAACAGGCAAUGUGAUAAGUCAUAUGUAUUCCCUUGUCUUUUAGAAUAUGUUCUUGUUUCUUCUGAGGGUUCGAAAUUGAUCCUUGAGCAGUAGGAUUGUCUGGUGGACAGUGGCAGCA
rnacentral:lncRNA from 12 species